GUAUGAUGCGCGCCGUAGGUGAUUGCGGCGGGUCAUUAUUGAAUUUGAAUUGAAGUGAGUUGUCGCUGGCCCCCCUUUGGGGGGGAUGUGCACGCUUGCUCUCAUUUAACCACCUGUGCACUUAUUGUAGACUUUUGGGAAUGUUUUCAAGCUUUCAUUAGCUUGGAUUGAGGAAUUGCAUUAGCUUUCCUUGUAUUCCUAGUCUAUGUUUUCAUAUAUACCCCUAAUGCAUGUCUUUGAAUGUCAACUUUAAAUGCGCCGUCAAAAGCCUUUAAAAUUAAUACAACUUUCAACAACGGAUCUCUUGGCUCUCGCAUCGAUGAAGAACGCAGCGAAAUGCGAUAAGUAAUGUGAAUUGCAGAAUUCAGUGAAUCAUCGAAUCUUUUAACGCACCUUGCGCUCCUUGGUAUUCCGAGGAGCAUGCCUGUUUGAGUGUCAUUAAAUUCUCAACCUCUUCAAUUUUGUUUACAAAUUUGAAUUGGCUUGGAUAUGGGAGUUGCGGGCUUCUCAGCAAGUCGGCUCUCCUUAAAUGCAUUAGUGGAACUUGAUUGUUGACCAUCAUUGGGUGUGAUUUUAUCUACGCCAUUUCUGAUGUGAAGCAGUUUAUAUAAAGUUCAGCUUUCUAACCGUCUAUUGACUUGGACAAUCAUAAUUGACUAUUUGACCUCAAAUCAGGUAGGACUACCCGCUGAACUUAAGCAUAUCAAUAAGCGGAGGAAAAGAAACUAACAAGGAUUCCCCUAGUAACUGCGGUGAAGCGGGAAAAGCUCAAAUUUAAAAACCGGUGGUUCUUGUGAUCAUCCGAGUUGUAGUAACAGAGAAGUGUUAUCCGCGCUGGACCUUUUAUAGCGCUGAUCG
rnacentral:rRNA from 1 species